ensembl:lncRNA
GGACCUCCAAGAAUUGUACUUUUAAAUUUUUGUGUGUGAUUAGUGCAAUAAUUUGUUUCUCACUUUGCAGGGUAAUUUUAAGUCACUGAUUGGUAUUAGCCUUUAAAUUUUCCAUUGAGAAAUGAAACCGAGAUGGUGUACUUUUUUGCUUUUACUAUCUUGGUAUGGAUGAGAAGCUUCCUAAUAUAAAAGAGAACAAUUUUGGAGAGUCUGACAGUUAUUUAUCAUAUUAUCUAUCCCAGGACUUAUUCUGGAGCUAGGGAAAUAACCUCAAGAUGGGUCUACUACUCCACAGAAUCAAAUAUUGUAUGAGCUUAGACCAAGAAUGCAUCCACCAUUUGACCUCUGUAGGCUGCUACUCUCCAAGUUAUACCCUGGUAGCUCAGCUGGUAAAGAAUCUGCCUGCAAUACAUGAGACCCCAGUUUGAUUCCUGGGUUGGGAAGAUCUGCUGGAAAAAGG